rnacentral:rRNA from 1 species
AUUGAACGCUGGCGGCAGGCCUAACACAUGCAAGUCGAGCGGCAGCGGGAAAGUAGCUUGCUACUUUUGCCGGCGAGCGGCGGACGGGUGAGUAAUGCCUGGGGAUCUGCCCAGUCGAGGGGGAUAACUACUGGAAACGGUAGCUAAUACCGCAUACGCCCUACGGGGGAAAGCAGGGGACCUUCGGGCCUUGCGCGAUUGGAUGAACCCAGGUGGGAUUAGCUAGUUGGUGAGGUAAUGGCUCACCAAGUCGACGGUCCCUAGCUGGUCUGAGAGGAUGAUCGGCCACACUGGAACUGAGACACGGUCCAGACUCCUACGGGAGGCAGCAGUGGGGAAAAUUGCACAAUGGGGGAAACCCUGAUGCAGCCAUGCCGCGUGUGUGAAGAAGGCCUUCGGGUUGUAAAGCACUUUCAGCGAGGAGGAAAGGUUGGUAGCUAAUAACUGCCAGCUGUGACGUUACUCGCAGAAGAAGCACCGGCUAACUCCGUGCCAGCAGCCGCCGUAAUAC